CGGAUUGACUUAUGAAAACAUACUGAUAUUUUUAGCAUCAAAUUGCAGUUAUAAUUUUAUCUAGAGGAAACAAUUUAUACUCUGCAAUUGUAGGAACGCAUCUAUUUUAAGUGCUUUUGUCAUUCUAGACACGAGUUCCCUUUACGUACAUUUCGAUAUGAGUGCGAUAGACGAAACAUAUUUAACGGCAACAGGACAACGAUUCUCCGUGUUCAGAUACAAUAUAAGUGACAUGUGUACAUACUUGCUUUCCAAAGAGAUAUCUCGACAGGAUCUGGUCCUUGUGCGGAAUUAUCAUGCCAAUACCGGUUUCUUUGCCUACACAUGUACUAUUCAAAGUUUCAACGUGACAAACGGGUAGACAAAUAAACCAAUGGCAAAAUAAGGGAUGUUUCGUACCAACGCUGUCUAAGUCGAACGAAACUCUUGCGCGCAUGUCCUACAUACGCCAGGUACGAGUAUCGGCCUAGUAGCAUUAGUACUGCCGGAGCUCCACCGCGAACGCUUCGAGCUGGACCUCUCGAAGAUUUCUACGGGCAGUGAUUCAACAGUUGCUCUCUUUUUCCUUAGCUCUAUUAGGGACUCGGCGAUACUGGACAUUAUUCGAAGAGAUCUGUUUAAGGUAAGAAUUCUUUGCGGUCAUAAAGCGCCCGUUUAAAACGCGAUCUAACCCAGAUGUUCAAACUUCGGAACAGUACAAACUAUUCUCAACUGCUGUGAUUUUUUCCAUCGGCAACUUCUUUAUUGACGGCGAUUUAUUUGCUACUAUUACGAGCAUAUUAUUAUAGAAGACACGCACACACUUCAGCAGCACCGUAGACCCAACUAACCGCUCUACAGGAAUCUACAUAACUGUCUUUGAUGUUGAUUUUCUUUUUUCCAAAUGAACUAGAUAUAAAAGGCGUUCCGGCGAUUAUGUGCCCGAUAUCUCUCGAAGCUUCUAGACUCAUUCAAUCGAUUUUUCUAGUUAGGCAAGAAAAGUAUGACAUAUAAAAAGGGCGACCAAUGUAGCUAAGUUUGAUCAAUAUCAGAAAUCUCUCUUGGAAAGCCAUGCUUUUUGCACUUGUAUAAAGUAUGAUAGCAAAUCAUCGUGCGUCCUUAAUAGGCGUUAGUUACUGAAACAGUCGACUUAGCUUCAGCGUUGAUUUCUUUUCCAGUAGUAGCUAUAGAUAAAUUCAAUUUCUAUGGCCUCUGUUAAUUAGCUCUAGUACUCUCCUUACCUCAGUCGAGCACUUCGGUGGAGAGCUCGAAGCUUGCUUCAGCUGUUUGGUUGAUAAUUCGUUUACCUCAAAAUAUAUGCUACCUAUAACUUCUCUAACAGUAGUCUAAUGUAGCAGAUAGCAAUAGAUGUAUGUAGCAGGAUGAAAGAUGUACUUGCAGUUAAAACGUUGUCUAACAUCGCUUCUGUCGACACAGCGGCCUGUUAUCGAGUGAUUAAACCUCCUAUUCCUAAGCUUACC